rnacentral:rRNA from 1 species
CUGGCCUUGUCGAGCAGCUCCUUCUCCUUGGCCUCUGCGGUGUCGCGCUCUUCGCCGGCGGCGGUGUCGCCCAGCUCAAAUCGGAAGACGAACACGGCGUGCGCGGCGAGGACGGAGGCGGCGUCUGUGAGGGCCGGCUCGCGCGCGGAGAAGAGCCAGUUGUGGAGGUCCCAGGAGACCUGGACCCGGUCGCCGCCGCCGAGGUCAACCUUCUCGCUGCCGCGGAACUUCCAGCGCAGGCGGCGGAUGUGGAGCACGCGCUCGCCGUCCACGGAGACCGACAGGCCGACCUCCGCCUUGUCCUUCUCCUUGUCCAUUUCCCUGUCCUUGCCGUGCCCGCGCGAGACGAGAUCCAGCGAGAUCUCCCGCUCCUUGCCGCGGACUUUGACGCAGGUCUUGUGCCCGCGGCCAUGGCCCCCGUCGCGCAUGGACACGUGCUCGCGCCGGGAGACGAGGACGUGGCCGGGGCCCGUCGGCCGCUGGGCCUUGGUCUUCCGGUACGCCUCCUCCGCCAUGUCCCCGGCCACGACCGCCAUCUCGCCGUCGACCACGACGGCGACGAAGUAGCCGGACGACGGCUCGGGCGAGCCGGGGGAGGCGAACCGCGCGCGGGUGAGGUCCCAGGCGAGGUCGAUCCGGCGGUCGUGCACAUGGAAGCGCUUGGACCCGCGGCGCCGCCAGAAGAGCCAGGGGCGGACGCGCACCGCGAUGGUGGCCUCCUCGUCGAACUCCGGGCCGUCGUCGUAGCAGCCGUAGUCGGAGGCCGAGGAGGAGGAGGCGAGCGCCCCGACGCGGAGCACGGCCCGGAGGCUGAGGCCGAACGCGGCGCGCGACCAGGAGAGCGCCGCCAGGCCGAGGCGGGUCUCGUAG